AUGGCCUCGAAGCUCCCCGACACGACCAAGAGCCUCGGUGCCGGCGCCAUGGACGUUGACGACGGCAGCGGCGGCGGCGGCGGCAAGAAGGCGGCUGGUAAGUGGCCGGGCUUCGUCCACUUCUUCUUCGUCCUCACCGUCGUCAUGUGCGCGCUCGUCUACGCCCCGCGUUUCCUGUCGCCCGCCGUGUCCGUCGACUUCUUGGGGCUGCGCCAGCCGGCAUUGGGUAGAGCGGCUGAAGGACAAGGACAGGGCGUGCACGGCGGCCGCGGCAAUGAGGGCGACGCGCUGGUCCUCGACAACCAGGUGGGCUCCCCGUGCGCGUCGAUGGGAGGCCAUGGCAUCUGCUGCGACCGGUCGGACUACAACACCGACGUGUGCUUCAUGGCCGGCGACGUGCGCACGGACGCCGCGUCCCUCUCGUUCCUGCUCUUCCCGCCGCAUGCACCCAACGGCACGGCCAGCGCCAACGCCACCGUGGCAGAGAAGGAGGAGGUGGUGCGGCCCUACACGCGCAAGUGGGAGAAGGGCGUGAUGGCGAACAUCCAGGAGGUGCGGCUCCGCGCGGCCCGGCCGGACGAGGCCGACGCGCACCGGUGCGACGUGCGGCACGACGCGCCGGCGCUGGUGAUGACGGCGGGCGGGUACACGGGGAACUUGUUCCACGCGUUCAACGACGUGUUCCUGCCGGCGUGGCUCACGGUGCAGCACCUCCGCCGCCGCGUGGUCCUGGCCGUGCUGGUGUACAACCCGUGGUGGGCCGGCACGUUCCCGGAGCUCGUGUCCGGGCUCUCGCGCCACCACGUGAUCGACCUCCUGCACGACAAGCGCACGCACUGCUUCCCGGGGGCCAUCGUGGGGACCCGCUUCCACGGCAUUCUCGAGGUCGACCCGGCUCGGACCCGGGACAACCGGACCCUCGUCGACUUCCACGACUUCCUCGCCAGCGUAUACAGGGACGACGGCGCGUCGGAAGAACUAGUGCACACCACGGCGCCGGCGCCCCAGCAGCAGCGGCGGCCGAGGCUGGGGCUGUACUCGCGCAAGGGGACGCGGGUGAUCGAGAACGAGGCGGCCGUGGCGCGCCUGGCGGAGUCGGUGGGGUUCGACGUGUCCAUCCUCGAGACGGCGAACGGGGCGCCGCUGUCGUCGGAGUACGCGAGGGUGAGCGCGUGCGACGUGCUGGUGGGCGUGCACGGCGCGGACCUGACCAAGCUGCUCUUCCUCCGGCCGGGCCGCGCCGCGCUGCUGCAGGUGGCGCCGCUGGGCGUGCCGCCGGUGGCGCGCGGGUGCUACGAGAAGGCGACGACCAUGAUGGAGAUGCAGUACGAGCAGUACGACACGGCGGCGAACGAGAGCUCGCUGGUCCGGAAGUACGCGGCGGACGACGUGGUGCUGCGCGACCCGGAGGCGGCGAAGCGGGAGGGCGGGUGGGACCUCAUCGCGCGCGUGUACCUCGGCGGCCAGAACGUGAGCCUCGACCUGGACCGCUUCGGCGACACCCUGAGGAGGCUGCACUCCCGCGCCCUCCGGCUGUCGGCGACCCGGUUGGACGCGUGCGCGCAUCGCCGUUGA
rnacentral:rRNA from 1 species